UACGUAGGGGGCAAGCGUUGUCCGGAUUUAUUGGCGUAAAGAGCGUGUAGGCGGUUUGGUAGGUCCGCUGUGAAAACUCGAGGCUCAACCUCGAGACGCCGGUGGAAACCAUCAGGCUAGAGUCCGGAAGAGGAGAGUGGAAUUCCUGGUGUAGCGGUGAAAUGCGCAGAUAUCAGGAAGAACACCCGUGGCUAAGGCGGCUCUCUAGUACGGUACUGACGCUGAGACGCGAAAGCGUGGGGAGCGAACAGG
rnacentral:rRNA from 1 species